UUGCCAGCGUUUUUCAUUGGAAUUUACGUUGUACAUUUAUGGCGAUUCUGAGCGUGAGGGCAGACUUCUGCCAGGCUCAGCACAGCCUUUUCGCUGACAAGUGAGCUUGGGGUUAUAUGUGCCAUAAUUAACAUUGCCUUGAAGACUCUGNACACCGAGACUGGCCUCAGAAGUAGUAGGCAUUUUUUUUUUUUUUUAAAUUGCAAGCGUAUUCUUUUAAUGACUCCAGUAAAAUUAAGCAUCAAGUAAACAAAAGUGGAGAAGAAUCUACACUUUUAACUUGUCUCACUAGUGCCUAAAUGUAGUGUAAAGGCUGCUUAAAUUUUGUAUGUAAUUGGAUUUUUUUUGGAAGCUGAAGGUAUCCAUCUGCAGACAUUGAGGNUCAAGUUGAAUUUGGAUUCAAGUGGAUUCUUAAUACUUCUGCCUGUGUUGAAGAGAGAAGCUUCAUAAGGAAUAAGCAAGUUGAAUAGAGAAAAUAGUGAUCAAUAAUAGGCAUCUUAGUGGUCUUUUAAAUGUUUUCUGCUGUAAAACAUUUCAAGAUUUAUUGAUUUCCUCCUCCCCCCAUUUUUUCCCACCACACUCACACACGCACGCUCACACUUUUUAUUUGCCAUAAUGAACCGUCCAGCCCCUGUGNAGAUCUCUUAUGAGAACAUGUGUUUUCUGUUAACUCACAACCCCACCAAUGCGACUCUCAACAAGUUCACAGAGGAACUUAAGCAGUAUGGAACUUUGUUUCGAGUUUGUGAUGCUACAUAUGAUAAAGCUCCAGUUGAAAAAGAAGGAAUCCACGUUCUAGAUUGGCCGUUUGAUGAUGGAGCUCCACCCCCUAAUCAGAUAGUAGAUGAUUGGCUAAACCUGCUAACCAAAUUUAGUGAAGAGCCAGACUGUUGUGUUGCAGUGCAUUGUGUUGCAGGGUUGGGAAGGGCUCCUGUGCUAGUCGCACUUGCAUUGAUUGAAUGCGGAAUGAAGUACGAAGAUGCUGUUCAGUUAAGACAAAAAAGAAGAGGAGCAUUCAAUUCCAAACAGCUGCUUUACUUGGAGAAGUACCGACCGAAGAUGCGAUUACGCUUCAGAGGUACCAAUGGGCACUACUGUGUUCAGUAGAAGUAGAGGAAGGCUGGCUGGAUCGUGACAUUAGAGAGAACUCUUGGUACCUGGAAAUGUGAAUCUGGAUUCUUACCUGUGUCAUCAAAGUAGUAAUGGAUUCAGUACUCCUGAACUCCUAACGAUUGAGAAGAAGGCAAACGAUAAAGAAAUCCCUCUAUUACACGAAUAAAAUGUUUAAGAAAAGAAAAAAGAAAGGAAAAGAGAUUAAUUUAGUGAAAGAUGGUUUUGCUCCUAGUUUUGAUUUCUGCCAGGAUUGAAAUAUUUCAAAAUCUCCAGUGUUUUUUAAGCUUUUUUCAAAACAGAUGUCUGAGGGAACCCAGCAGAAUAUGAACCAGUGUGGAGCUGGUUGUGGGAGCACACUUCCAUUAUGCUUGGCACAUAGGCCUCCUUGUGGCAGGAUCUGGGGGAGGUAGACUUUCCUCAUCUUCUCUCUUCCUGCCUCCCUCCCUUCUCCUGAUCCCCGUAGAUGGAAUAGAAAGCAGCCCUUGUUGCUGUAGAUGUGCCUGUGUCUGGCAGCCUUAAGCCCACCUGGGCACUUAUAGGAAAA